rnacentral:rRNA from 2 species
UUUAAUGAGAGUUUGAUCCUGGCUCAGGACGAACGCUGGCGGCGUGCCUAAUACAUGCAAGUAGAACGCUGAGGUUUGGUGUUUACACUAGACUGAUGAGUUGCGAACGGGUGAGUAACGCGUAGGUAACCUGCCUCAUAGCGGGGGAUAACUAUUGGAAACGAUAGCUAAUACCGCAUAAGAGUAAUUAACACAUGUUAGUUAUUUAAAAGGAGCAAUUG